rnacentral:rRNA from 1 species
GGGNGCUUACCAUGCAGUCGAGCGGAAGGCCCUUCGGGGUACUCGAGCGGCGAACGGGUGAGUAACACGUGAGUAACCUGCCCCUGACUCUGGGAUAAGCCUGGGAAACUGGGUCUAAUACCGGAUACGACCAUUUCUCGCAUGGGAUGGUGGUGGAAAGUUUUUUCGGUUGGGGAUGGGCUCGCGGCCUAUCAGCUUGUUGGUGGGGUGAUGGCCUACCAAGGCGACGACGGGUAGCCGGCCUGAGAGGGCGACCGGCCACACUGGGACUGAGACACGGCCCAGACUCCUACGGGAGGCAGCAGUGGGGAAUAUUGCGCAAUGGGCGGAAGCCUGACGCAGCGACGCCGCGUGGGGGAUGACGGCCUUCGGGUUGUAAACCUCUUUCAGCAGGGACGAAGUUGACGUGUACCUGUAGAAGAAGCGCCGGCUAACUACGUGCCAGCAGCCGCGGUAAUACGUAGGGCGCGAGCGUUGUCCGGAAUUAUUGGGCGUAAAGAGCUCGUAGGUGGCUUGUCGCGUCUGCCGUGAAAGCCCGUGGCUUAACUACGGGCCUGCGGAGGAUACGGGCAGGCUAGAGGCUGGUAGGGGCAAGCCGAAUUCCUGGUGUAGCGGUGAAAUGCGCAGAUAUCUAGAGGUACACCGGCGCCUAACGCGGGCUGUUGGGUCUGUUCUCAUGCUGUGUCAGCUCAAGCGCGGGGAUUCUACGUGAUUACUUACUCUGGUGAUCCCGUUUGGGUACGAGAUACGCUAUGCAGNGCGUCUACCCCCGAAUACUUGAGUAGGAUGCUGACGUCUAUAUACUGUGCCGAUCAGCGGCAUUACAGACGAUCAUCGACUCACUGUAGAUGCAAUCUCACGUGCUGCUCGCAUGAGCUCUUGCGCAUACUAGUAACAACUCUCUCACCGUAUCAGUCUCGUACUUUGCGGUUUACUAGGAGUUGUAGACUAUCGUGCCUAGUUGUUCUACAUUAGUCUGCAUGUUCCAGCAACUGUCGCCAUUUAAUCCUACAUGACAAAUAGUCGGCUUUCCNACAUCGAUCUUGUCCCGNGGCAUUGGAGUGACCCUCAGUUUUGACUUCGAUAGUUCAAAAACCCCAAUGCCGA